UACAUGGGGUGCAAACGUUGCUCGGAAUUAUUGGGCGUAAAGCGCACGUAGGCGGUUCGUUAAGUCGGAUGUGAAAGCCCUCGGCUCAACUGAGGAAGUGCACCCGAAACUGGCGAGCUUGAGUACGAAAAGAGGAUCGCGGAAUUCCCGGUGUAGAGGUGAAAUUCGUAGAUAUCGGGAGGAACACCGGUGGCGAAGGCGGCGAUCUGGGUCGAUACUGACGCUGAGGUGCGAAAGCGUGGGGAGCAAACAGGG
rnacentral:rRNA from 1 species